GACGAACGCUGGCGGCGUGCUUAACACAUGCAAGUCGAACGGAAAGGCCCUGCUUUUGUGGGGUGCUCGAGUGGCGAACGGGUGAGUAACACGUGAGUAACCUGCCCUUGACUUUGGGAUAACUUCAGGAAACUGGGGCUAAUACCGGAUAGGAGCUCCUGCUGCAUGGUGGGGGUUGGAAAGUUUCGGCGGUUGGGGAUGGACUCGCGGCUUAUCAGCUUGUUGGUGGGGUAGUGGCUUACCAAGGCUUUGACGGGUAGCCGGCCUGAGAGGGUGACCGGCCACAUUGGGACUGAGAUACGGCCCAGACUCCUACGGGAGGCAGCAGUGGGGAAUAGUGCACAAUGGGCUGAAGCCUGAUGCAGCAACGCCGCGUGCGGGAUGACGGCCUUCGGGUUGUAAACCGCUUUCGCCUGUGACGAAGCGUGAGUGACGGUAAUGGGUAAAGAAGCACCGGCUAACUACGUG
rnacentral:rRNA from 1 species